rnacentral:rRNA from 1 species
UACGUAGGGUGCAAGCGUUGUCCGGAAUUAUUGGGCGUAAAGAGCUCGUAGGCGGUUUGUUGCGUCGGCUGUGAAAUCCCGAGGCUCAACCUCGGGUCUGCAGUCGAUACGAGCAAACUAGAGUGUUGCAGGGGAGACUGGAAUUCCUGGUGAUAGCGGUGAAAUGCGCAGAUAUCAGGAGGAACACCGGUGGCGAAGGCGGGUCUCUGGGCAA